rnacentral:tRNA from 1 species
GUGGUGUCCAUGGUGAACACAUUUGGCUGCUAAUCAAAAGGUUGGUGGUUCGAGUCCUCCC